AUUGAACGCUGGCGGCAGGCCUAACACAUGCAAGUCGAGCGAGCAGCGGACGGUGGAGGAAUGUAUGGGGACUGCCCGAUAGAGAGCGAUAAAUACUGGAAACGGUAGCUAAUACCGCAUACUAUCGGAUAACCGUUGUGGGAUUGGCUAGUAGGUGAGGUAAGGGCUCACCUAGGCGACGAUCCCUAGCCGGGCUGAGAGGAUGAUCAGCCACACUGGGACGGAGACACGGCCCAGACUCCUACGGAGGCAGCAGUGGGGAAUAUUGCACAAUGGGCGCAAGCCUGAGGCAGCCAUGCCGCGGGUAUGAAGAAGGCUCUAGGGUUGUAAAGUACUUUCAGUCGGGAGGCGUUACCGACAGAAGAAGCACCGGCUAACUCCGUGCCAGCAGCCGCGGUAAUAC
rnacentral:rRNA from 1 species